UUUUACCUACGGGAGGCAGCAGUGGGGGAUAUUGCACAAUGGGGGGAACCCUGAUGCAGCGACGCCGCGUGGGCGAAGGAGCGUUUCGGCGCGUAAAGCCCUAUCGGCAGGGAAGAAGAUGACGGUACCUGACCAAGAAGCCCCGGCUAACUACGUGCCAGCAGCCGCGGUAAUACGUAGGGGGCAAGCGUUAUCCGGAUUUACUGGGUGUAAAGGGGGCGCAGACGGCA
rnacentral:rRNA from 1 species